UUGCGCAGGUGGCAAUGGUUGUAGGAGUUGCUCCUGUUCGCGUUUAUGAGGUUGCAACUUUUUAUUCAAUGUUCAACAUAUCAAAGGUUGGUGGGUAUCAUCUACUGGUCUGUGGCACAACACCUUGUACGAUACGUUGUUCACGAGAAAUUGAAGAAGGCUUAUUGAAUCACUUGGGGGUUAAGCGUAACUAGGUAACAAAGGAUGGCUUAUUCUCGGUUGGAUAAAUGGAAUGU